UCGAACUAUCUUUAAGCUGCAUUUUCAUGGAUUGUUCCCUAAUGAGGAUAGCUUCCUUCCCCCCCAUGACGUCAUCUCUUCCCGAGUGUGCAUUUACCGCGUGUCCACCUCAAACGGUCUCACAACAAUCCCUACUUGUCACGGUCCGCAGUCCUCCCGCUGCACCCCUAAGUGCUCCCUUGAACGUUUUCUGUAACAGCUGCUCUUGGAACACAAGCAAGAGAGAAAUCUGCUGCUGUAGAGGGUGCAUCGCUGAACCUACAGAGUUACAUUUAUUCCAUUGAAGAUAGAUAGAGUCCCCGGAUCCAAUGCUCCUGCGUACAAUACCCCAAUUGGUUCCUCUAAAUCACCAGAGCCUUAUCAAACUUCAGUGCCAGAGCAGAAAAAUGUACAGCCUUGAGAAUGGCGCCACCAAAUGGUACAAACCAGAGAUGUCCUGCAGAGCCUAGGCUCUGGCCGCCCUAACAAGCUCCCUGUCCUCUAUAACACAACUAAAAAAGACAACAGUGAAAGAAAUUUAUUCAAUGACGCUGCACUAGGAACAAGAAUUAAGGGGUUGGUUCAGUAACCCCCCCAAGUCUAUCUUUGGGGUCCUGACAUGAGGUUUAAAUAGAAGGCUCAAGGUGUGAUCCUGCCCAUGGUAAACCCAUCUUGGUUGGCCCUGCAAAGCGAACUGACCAAUUGUCAGAACUAGGAGACAAGCUCUCCUGCUGGUGUGCACCCAGAACCCCCAUCUUUUCCUUCCCCGGUGAGACUCUUGAGGAAAUCUAAUUCUUUGGGACCCAUUAUCCUGUUAGUCCAAUAGUCAAAAGGAGGGGCACAUUUGUUCCUCCUUGGAAUAUCUCAGGAUGGUCACACAGCUUCAGCUGAGACAUCUGUGUGUCCAAACUACUUCGGAGCCUAAACCAAUCAGUUAUACACUAAUACAUUAUCUCCUAGUUCUCUCCCCGGGUAGCCCCACCCUCAUGAGCUCUUAAUCCCUUACUGAGCUCUAUCCUGCCCACCUCUUUUGAAAAAAAAUGAAAAAUAAAUGUCUUCAUCUACAGUUCUGAGGCAAGUGAGUCUCCCAGAGGUGAAUCGCCUUCAUUCCCCUCAGCUGCCACCAAAGUCUUCCUUUUCCUGUCCUGGAAAGAAAUGUUUUGUCCUCUCCAGCUAACCCUGGUCCCUGAAUUAAGGCAUCAUCCUUCUAAUCCACUUAGAGAUUCACCUACUUUUUUUUUUUAAAUCAGUGCAACUCCUCAUUCUUUCCCCUCAAUAAAAUAAGUCUCUGUGCUU